AAGGAGGAUUAAAGCAUCGUCGGAGCUAUCUUCACCGCUGAAGGUGAGAUUUUCACUCGACCCUCUUUUGAACCAUAGUUUCGUUAGCAUCGUGAGCGAUUCUGAGGAAGACGUGAGGUUUGGGAGCUUUCGAGAUAGGGAUUUCGAUGAGAGGUGAGGGAUUGAGGGUAAGUUUGAGAGCGAUAGAGAGAGCGCGGUUGAGAGUUUCCUGUUUGGUGAGAACGAAAGUGAGCGAUUGAG
rnacentral:lncRNA from 1 species